ACAGAACCCUUCGGGGCGAAGAUAAAGUGGAUUAGCGGCGGACGGGUGAGUAACACGUGAGUAACCUGCCUUAGACAUUGGGAUAGCCUCGGGAAACCGGGAUUAAUACCAAAUAAAAUCAUAAUGACACAUGUCAUAACGAUCAAAACUCCGGUGGUCUAAGAUGGACUCGCGUCCCAUUAGCUAGUUGGUAGAGUAAAAGCCUACCAAGGCGACGAUGGGUAGCCGGCCUGAGAGGGUGAACGGCCACAUUGGAACUGAGAAACGGUCCAAACUCCUACGGGAGGCAGCAGUGGGGAAUAUUGCACAAUGGAGGGAACUCUGAUGCAGCGACGCCGCGUGAACGAAGAAGGCUUUCGAGUCGUAAAGUUCUUUUAUAUGGGAAGAUAAUGACGGUACCAUAAGAAAAAGCCCCGGC
rnacentral:rRNA from 1 species